rnacentral:rRNA from 1 species
AAUAAGCGGAGGAAAAGAAACCAACAGGGAUUGCCUUAGUAGCGGCGAGUGAAGCGGCAAAAGCUCAAAUUUGAAAUCUGGCUCUUUCAGAGUCCGAGUUGUAAUUUGAAGAAGGUAUCUUUGGGUCUGGCUCUUGUCUAUGUUUCUUGGAACAGAACGUCACAGAGGGUGAGAAUCCCGUGCGAUGAGAUGAUCCAGGCCUAUGUAAAGUUCCUUCGAAGAGUCGAGUUGUUUGGGAAUGCAGCUCUAAGUGGGUGGUAAAUUCCAUCUAAAGCUAAAUAUUGGCGAGAGACCGAUAGCGAACAAGUACAGUGAUGGAAAGAUGAAAAGAACUUUGAAAAGAGAGUGAAAAAGUACGUGAAAUUGUUGAAAGGGAAGGGCUUGAGAUCAGACUUGGUAUUUUGUAUGUUACUUCUUCGGGGGUGGCCUCUACAGUUUAUCGGGCCAGCAUCAGUUUGGGCGGUAGGAGAAUUGCGUUGGAAUGUGGCACGGCUACGGUUGUGUGUUAUAGCCUUCGUCGAUACUGCCAGCCUAGACUGAGGACUGCGGUUUAUACCUAGGAUGUUGGCAUUU